rnacentral:rRNA from 1 species
UACGUAGGUGGCGAGCGUUGUCCGGAUUUACUGGGCGUAAAGGGAGCGUAGGCGGACUUUUAAGUGAGAUGUGAAAUACUCGGGCUCAACUUGAGUGCUGCAUUUCAAACUGGAAGUCUAGAGUGCAGGAGAGGAGAAUGGAAUUCCUAGUGUAGCGGUGUAAUGCGUAGAGAUUAGGAAGAACACCAGUGGCGAAGGCGAUUCUCUGGACUGUAACUGACGCUGAGGCUCGAAAGCGUGGGGAGCAAACAGG